rnacentral:rRNA from 1 species
AGUGGCAGACGGGUGAGUAAUGCGUAGGAAUCUACCUAGUAGUAUGGAAUAGCCAUUAGAAAUGAUGGGUAAUACUGUAUAAUCCCUGCGGGGGAAAGAUUUAUCGCUAUUAGAUGAGCCUACGUUAGAUUAGCUAGUUGGUAAGGUAAUGGCUUACCAAGGCUAUGAUCUAUAGCUGGUCUGAGAGGACGAUCAGCCACACUGGAACUGAGAUACGGUCCAGACUCCUACGGGAGGCAGCAGUGGGGAAUAUUGGACAAUGGGCGAAAGCCUGAUCCAGCUAUGCCGCGUGAGUGAAGAAGGCCUUCGGGUUGUAAAACUCUUUCAAUAGGGAAGAU